rnacentral:rRNA from 1 species
ACGCUGCGGCGUGCUAAUACUGCAGUCGAACGAGUUCUCGUGUUUGAUUAAAGGUGCUUGCACCUGAGAGAUAACCAGCAUUGUUGAACGAAGUGGCGGACGGGUCGAGGUCAACACGUGGAGUAACCUGCCCUUGAAGUGGGGGAUAGACAGUUGUGGAAAUCAGCUGCUAGAUACCGCAUAGACAACUUUUCUCGCAUGAGAAGAUGUAUUGAAAGGUGUUGGCGUAGAGCUGACCGGCUUAUUGCGAUUGCGACCUGUCGUGCGUUAUAUAGACUGAUGGUUAGGUAACGGUAACGGCUUACCCAGAAGGACAAUGAUACGAUCAGCGCCGAUCGUUGUAAGAAGAGUGAUCGGGCCGACGAUUGGGUGACUGGAGGACACGGGUCCCAAACUCACUCACGGGAGUGCAGCAGUAGUGGAAUCUUCCACAAUGGACGAAAGUCUGAUGGAGCAACGCCGCGUGAGUGAAGAAGGGUUUCGGCUCGUAAAACUCUGUUAUUGGAGAAGAAGGAUAAGGUAAGUAACUGUACUUUAUUUGACGGUAACCAACCAGAAAGUCACGGCUAACUACGUGCCAGUAGACCGCGGAUAAUACGC